AGCCACAGCUGGACAGACUGAUCGAUAUUACAUCGAACCAACGGGGAAACACAGAUUCCGGUCAAAGGUUGAGGUGCUUCACUUUCUGGAAACAGGAAGUAGUAAACCAAAGAGAAAGGCACCUUCUGCAACUGAGACUACGCCUUCAAGGAGUCCUGCAAGCCAAGCAUAAAGCAAGGCCAGCACGAAACGGAAGAAAUCCGAGGCCUUUGUUUCUGAUAAUACACAACCACCACCACAUGUUAUCAACGACGUGCAUAUGAAGUGAACAGAUAUGGUAAGGCCAAGCGCGGGCAUGAUGACAGUGUUUAUGCACCUCUCUGGGGUCUCUAACUGAAAGCGCUUGUCUUUUUGUUACCAUAAUUCUUCUUAGAUUCUGGUGGUAGACAUUUUACUUGUUUCUUAUGUAGAAUUCAAACAUUAUUGUGCGUGAGUUCUCUUGUGGAAUGUUAAGAGAAUUCUUUUGUAUUUGAAAGUAUUUUUGGAAAAGCCAUCUUGAAGAUAGAGAGAUGGUAUAAAUGCAGUUUCCUUGUAGAAGUAGGAACCUUUGUAGAAUACUUUGCUCCAAAUGGUGUAGUGCAUGAGGUUGCUCCAAAUUUGGAUAUGGGAUUA